UCUGGCUGCCAUCACUUGAUCGAAAGUCCUUCCUCCGGCCACCAUUGCCGACACUGCUACUCCCAAAAGAAAGCCCUCAACUCACUGGUCAUUCUAAGACAAACCUCACUGCCAUUGGAUGCUGGAAACGCCCACGCACGGCGAUAAGGGAAGCUAUGGUUGCCCUUCUCCUUUCCGCGCCUGCCAUCGCCGCCCGCUGCCGCCACCAGCACCAAUGAGCUUGCCAACGACAACAAUAUCCCUAGUCGUCGCCGCCGCGCCUGAUCGAGCAUCCAUCACUGCCUACCAUUGAAGCCAACGAAU
rnacentral:lncRNA from 1 species